rnacentral:rRNA from 1 species
GACGGACCGUCCAAACGUUAUUCGGUAUCACUGGGCUUAAAGGGUGCGUAGGCGGUCCCGUAAGUCGGGUGUGAAAUACCUCGGCUCAACCGAGGAAGUGCGCCCGAAACUGCGGGGCUAGAGGGAGGUAGAGGCGAGUGGAACUUGCGGUGGAGCGGUGAAAUGCGUUGAUAUCGCAAGGAACACCGGGGGCGAAGGCGGCUCGCUGGGCCUUCCCUGAGGCUGAGGCACGAAAGCUAGGGGAGCGAACGGG